CCUACGGGUGGCAGCAGUGGGGAAUAUUGCACAAUGGGGGAAACCCUGAUGCAGCGACGCCGCGUGAGUGAAGAAGUAUUUCGGUAUGUAAAGCUCUAUCAGCAGGGAAGAAAAUGACAGUACCUGACUAAGAAGCCCCGGCUAACUACGUGCCAGCCGCCGCGGUAAUACGUAGGGGGCAAGCGUUAUCCGGAUUUACGGGGUGUAAAGGGAGCGUAGACGGCAGUGCAAGCCAGAUGUGAAAGCCCGGGGCUCACCCCCGGGACUGCUUUUGGAACUGUGCUGCUAGAGUGUCGGAGAGGCAGGCGGAAUUCCUAGUGUAGCGGUGAAAUGCGUAGAUAUCAGGAGGAACACCAGUGGCGAAGGCGGCCUGCUGGACGAUGACUGACGUUGAGGCUCGAAAGCGUGGGGAGCAAACAGGAUUAGAUACCCCUGUAGUC
rnacentral:rRNA from 1 species